rnacentral:rRNA from 1 species
AUUGAACGCUGGCGGUAUGCUUAACACAUGCAAGUCGAACGGUAGCAGCUCUUCGGAGGCUGACGAGUGGCGGACGGGUGAGUAACGCGUAGGAAUCUGCCUGUUAGUGGGGGACAACUUAGGGAAACUUAAGCUAAUACCGCAUACGCCCUGAGGGGGAAAGGUGGGGAUCUUCGGACCUACCGCGAUUGGAUGCACCCAGGUGGGGUUAGCUAGUUGGUGAGGUAACGGCUCACCAAGGCGACGAUCUCUAGCUGGUCUGAGAGGAUGACCAGCCACACUGGAACUGAGACACGGUCCAGACUCCUACGGGAGGCAGCAGUGGGGAAUAUUGCACAAUGGGGGGAAACCCUGAUGCAGCCAUGCCGCGUGUGUGAAGAAGGCCUCGGUUGUAAGCACUUCUAGCGAGGAGGAAAGGUAGGGCUAGCUAAUACCUAGUUGCUGUGACGUUACUCGCAG